GAGGAAUAUUGGGCAAUGCCCGCAAGGGUGACCCAGCAACGCCGCGUGGAGGAUGAAUGUCGUAAGAUUGUAAACUCCUGUUAGAGGGGAAGAAUAGUACCGGUUGGACCGGUAUAUGACUGUACCCUCAGAGAAAGCCCCGGCUAACUACGUGCCAGCAGCCGCGGUAAUACGUAGGGGGCAAGCGUUGUCCGGAUUUACUGGGUGUAAAGGGCGCGCAGGCGGGAUAAAAAGUCAGUGGUGAAAUCCUACAGCUUAACUGUAGAACUGCCUUUGAUACUUUUAUUCUUGAGUUCGGGAGAGAGAGACGGAAUUCCAGGCGUAGUGGUGAAAUACGUAGAUAUCUGGAAGAACACCAGUUGCGAAGGCGGUCUCUUGGUCCGACACUGACGCUGAGGCGCGAAAGCGUGGGGAGCAAACA
rnacentral:rRNA from 1 species